UCGCCGUGUAGCUCGGGGAAUUGGCCCUGGGGUAUCCACGACCUGGCCGUAACCAGGUGCGUCCACGGGAA
rnacentral:ncRNA from 1 species